CAAGGACAGUAUCAUUCAAUAACCUCACUUACUCAACUUAUUUAAUUUUCCCAAAAACCUACUACAUGCCAAAUCUUUUCUUCACUCUUUCAACAAAGCAGCACCAUCCACGGCUUUUUGCAGUGUAGUAGCUAUCAACCUGAUAUUGGUUCAGAAAUCCUCUCCCCAACACUUUCCCUUUCAAAGCAAAACUUUAACAAGCAAAAUCAAUCAACUCUAUUUGUGAAGGUCAACAACUCAAAUUUGGUAUUCACUCUACCAACAAUUACCAAAUCCAUGUUUAUCUUCUUCCUUUAUGCAGAGAGAUGAAUUGACUCCACACAUUUGCAAGCUAGAAAACCUAAAUCUGAAUGGAAGAAGAGAAACAAACGGUAUCUAAGAAACGACCGUGAUUUCUUUGAUUAAUAAGGUGAAAUAGAUGGAUUGGUUUUCACCACGUCACAUACUUUUUCCAUCGAAAAAAUGCAGAUCAAGAAGUAUGCAUGAUUGCGUUGGGGUGCCUUACCAACAAGGUUAUACCGGAAGGAUACACUCUUGUUGCCAAGGUUUGUUAUUACAAUAUAUGGUUGUUAAUUAUCAAUUUCAAUUUAGUAGGAAACAGUGACUCGGAGAUUAUGCUGAUUCAGAUUAUUAAGAAAAACGUUGAAUUCUUUGAUUCAGCCAUACUUAUGACUUCUGAUCAUGUAAUUCUCUUGCUCGUAAAAGAUAUUGCACAAGCCCAUGGUCAUCUUCAGGCGUUGGAUGACAGAGACAAUAACAUACUGUUGAUGAUGUGGCUACUGAUAACUGUUUACAAGAGAAAUUAGGAUCGAACACUUAUUUUUGUAAAUAAUAAAGGGACGAAUUGGGGUGUGUCAAUUUAAGGGUACAAAAUGAAAUUGUUGAAAGGGUGUCGUGGAAAUGGGUCUUUUGUUUGAAUGAUUAGUGGAUAGGAUGAACAUGCUAUGAUUAUCUAAUGAGUAUGAAUGUGCAUGAAGAUAACCAUGAGUAUGAACAUCAGAAUAUACUGCUGAGUUUAGUCAAAAAAAAAAAAAAGAAUAUACUACUGUGUGUUUAUUUUUCUUGUAUCAAACAUGAAUAACAGAGAAGUGAAUGACCAAUUAAUACA